UACAGAGGUCCCAAGCGUUGUUCGGAUUCACUGGGCGUAAAGGGCGCGUAGGCGGUCGUGACAAGUCACUUGUGAAAUCUCCGGGCUUAACUCGGAACGGUCAAGUGAUACUGUCGGACUAGAGUACAGAAGGGGCAACUGGAAUUCUCGGUGUAGCGGUGAAAUGCGUAGAUAUCGAGAGGAACACCUGCGGCGAAGGCGGGUUGCUGGACUGAUACUGACGCUGAGGCGCGAAAGCCAGGGGAGCGAACGGG
rnacentral:rRNA from 1 species